rnacentral:rRNA from 1 species
ACUACGUGUGGCAGCAGUAGGGAAUAUUGCUCAAUGGGGGAAACCCUGAAGCAGCAACGCCGCGUGGAGGAUGAAGGUUUUCGGAUUGUAAACUCCUUUUGUUAGAGAAGAUAAUGACGGUAUCUAACGAAUAAGCACCGGCUAACUCCGUGCCAGCAGCCGCGGUAAUACGGAGGGUGCAAGCGUUACUCGGAAUCACUGGGCGUAAAGAGCGCGUAGGCGGGAGAGCAAGUCAGAUGUGAAAUCCUAUGGCUUAACCAUAGAACUGCAUUUGAAACUGUUAUUCUAGAGUAUGGGAGAGGUAGGUGGAAUUCUUGGUGUAGGGGUAAAAUCCGUAGAGAUCAAGAGGAAUACUCAUUGCGAAGGCGACCUGCUAGAACAUAACUGACGCUGAUGCGCGAAAGCGUGGGGAGCAAACAGGAUUGAUACCCUAGUAGUC